UACGUAGGGAGCAAGCGUUGUCCGGAAUCAUUGGGCGUAAAGCGCGUGUAGGCGGUUCCGCAAGUCAGGUGUGAAAGCCCAGGGCUCAACCCUGGGAGUGGACUGAAUACUGGGAGACUCGAGGAUGUUAGAGGAAAGUGGAAUUCCAAGUGUAGCGGUGAAAUGCGUAGAUAUUUGGAGGAACACCAGUGGCGAAGGCAGGUCUCUGGGCAAGCAACUGACGCUGAGGAGCGAAAGCGUGGGGAGCGAACAGG
rnacentral:rRNA from 1 species